UGGCAAUAGUCAGCAUAUAAGAAGCUUCGCAAACCUUAUAUAAAGAUAAAUCAAUAUUCAAAUCCACACGCAUUGCCUUUGUGGGAUCUUGCUUAAAUAAUUCAAAAGCGCAAAUUCGUCUUCACUGCACUCGGCUUUACCGCGAAAAUAGACCUGUUGAUGGGAUCUUUGUUGACGUGUUUUGCAAUUAAAAUCUCAUAAACAGCACUGAACUCUACUAAAAAAUAUUGGCCCAAUUUAUUGUAAAAAAAAGAAAUAUUUAACGACUAUUGCGUUGAUAUUGACCUUUUUGCUGCUUCAAAUAUGAUCGUCGUUACUCUGGUUAACAAAUAGGUUGUGUGCAUUUUAACAAAUAUGUGAACUUCGGCAAAAAGGAACAAAAUUUUCCCUAAAAUGACAAACGGGUUGACGGUUACUUGGGUUUAUUCGGAUGACCCAAGAAACCUGAUGUAGCUAUCAACACGACUAUGUUGGCUUUAUUUAAAAUGCAACUGAAUCGUUGCAACUGUUUAUACUGACAGUAAUAGCAUUAAUCUAUAUGCACCGAAUAUUACAACAGCUAAAUCUUAUAUUUAAGGAGUAAGCAAUCUUUUGCUGACUGCAAACGAAAUUCUCUGCUGACUGCAAGCAAAAUCGACAGGUAAACAACAAAUAACACAUCCGUUUGUACCUCGUUGUAUGUCAUUUCUAAAUCCUUGCACAAGGUUUUGCAGCUAAAAGGUGCAACAUACAAUCCUGACAGCGGGCAUAUGGUAGUAUACUGCGUACGGUCGUGAGGGUAACAAAGAUGCAAAGAAAGCCUAGUAUAAGCCAAUGAGAAAUGGUCGAUUAAAACAUUGAAGAAAGAGAACGUAAACGCAAAUUAAAACAACGAAGCCCCGCUUACGAUUUACCAAGUUGGUAACUUUGUGCUGGAUUUCAAGAAUUGAAUUCAAUACAAAAGUUCUUGAGUAUAGAGGGAAGAUAUGAUUCAAAUUUCUAUGCAACGGUUGUAAACUAAAGUAACUGUACUGGUGCUAUGAAAAUUUAGACUUGAAAAUGAAAAUUUAGAUAAGUUUCAAUGUAACUUAUUUUAUUCACGCGUGUCGGACAACGAGACUGAUUACAACACGGCUGUAUUUGAUACACGCGGCAGUUAGAAAAACUACAUUUUACCGCAAGGUAGCGUACUGUCUUCACCUCCUAUCGGUAGCGUAAAUUUGUCGCGCAAAAUAUUUCAUAAAAAAAUCUGGCGUCUUCAAUUCUUGUACAAAUACAAACUACCACAGUAUGUCUUCCAUGCGUGACCUAUACAAAACCCGUAAAAUUAAAAUUAGAUUUUAUUAAACUCUGGUUUGUUGUUGUUUGUGUUAAAUUAAUUCGUGCCCAUUAUUAACCACUCAACCACGAAGCGCGGCACCACGAUUUUGAUUGUUACUUAAUUCAAUACCCUACGAGCCUUUUAUGCUUGCUUUUUUUCUCGUAUUCUCUCGUUUUUUAAAAUUUAUUCAAUGUAUACUCAUUGCUCUCAAUUUUGAAUUAGAAAAAAGCAAGGUUCUGUGUGAUAUCAUAAAGUCUUACUUAAUGCGUGUUGUAUGUUUACAACAACAGUGUUCUCACAUGUGAAGUGAGUAGCGUCAACUCUAUUUUGUACAUUUGGGUUAAUUACGUAUAGAUCUAUUCUAUAAACCAGAAAGUAACUUAGAAACUGUAAAACGGUAUAAACUGUGAUAGCAUUACCGUGUUGUGCUGUUUACUGACCCGCAUACCUCCGAAGCCGUAAGUGCAAUAAAAAAUGAAGCCAACGUACUAAAACAAAUUAGACAACACACUGUGCUAAUGAUACAAGCGGAAUAUAUUAGGCA